rnacentral:misc_RNA from 1 species
GAUGAAGAACGCAGCGAAAUGCGAUAAGUAAUGUGAAUUGCAGAAUUCAGUGAAUCAUCGAAUCUUUGAACGCACAUUGCGCCCGCCAGUAUUCUGGCGGGCAUGCCUGUCCGAGCGUCAUUUCAACCCUCGAACCCCUCCGGGGGGUCGGCGUUGGGGAUCGGCCCUGCCUCUUGGCGGUGGCCGUCUCCGAAAUACAGUGGCGGUCUCGCCGCAGCCUCUCCUGCGCAGUAGUUUGCACACUCGCAUCGGGAGCGCGGCGCGUCCACAGCCGUUAAACACCCAACUUCUGAAUGUUGACCUCGAAUCAGGUAGGAAUACCCGCUGAACUUAAGCAUAUCAAUAAGCGGAGGA